AGCAAACUCUUGAACGCUUCACUAAUAUGAAGAAAACGUUUGGCAGAGGGGUGACAGGAGUCAGAGGGAGUCGGUCCGCCUGCAUCCACAGAGAAAGACUGAACCUGCUGAGAGGCCCAAAGCACGAGGAGGAGCCGACGAGAAAUGAUGCUGUUUUCUGUCCACUUCCUGGUUCCCGGCCUGAUAGUACCACCCCCUCACCUCACCCGUUAUGACAUGAACCAAUGAGCGCGCAGCUCGCCUCGUAUCCGGCUGUUGCGGCCAAUCAGAGCUCGAGAAUCGCUACCAUCUGUUUCAAUUAUUUAUUUUUUUUGUAUCUGACUGCCAGACAAAACCACCAAGACUUGUGCAGCAUUGGAAAGGAAGACUCGUAUAAUUACCAACAACAACAAAACCUAUUGUUGCCUCAUUACAACAUGAUCAUACAGUAGAUAAUAGCAGUUUUAAUAAUGGAAAAUAUCAUUUUCUGUCUUAAAUAGUUUAAAACUGCAGUAUUUUUAAGUUUAGUAUGCCAUGACAUGCUAAUAAACACCACAGACAUGAUUUGCAGACGUUUAGCCUUCAUAAAGGAUUCAUAAAGUGCAUUUAAAUGGCUUUGUUUUUCUCUUUAUAUGGAUGAAGUGGCUGCUCUGUAACUCCACCCCUUAAUGCAUUCCUUUGUCCUAAACUUAGCAGCAAACUCCUGAUAACACAGGUCAAGCUUAUCUCCAAAACUGUUUAUAACCAGUGGUGUAAUGAAACUCGAGUAGCUACUGUACUAAGUAAAAAUUUGAGGUACUUGAGUAUUUUCUUUUCAUUCCACUUUAUACUUUUACUCAACUACAUUUCAGAGGGAAAUAUUGCUUACAUUAUAUUACUUUAAAGAAUACGAUUUUCAGCUGCAAAGAGUGACAGAAAAUUAAU